UAGAAUAUGUGCCUGAAUAUUUCUCUGCAA
rnacentral:piRNA from 1 species